AAAUUACAAAGCCAAAAACCAAACCAUGCCCUUCCUGUCAGGCUCCAAACACCUGCAACAGGAAGACAUGCAGUGGAUGCCUGGGCAGCCUGAACGUAAAGGAGGGAUUGAAAAAAAAAAAAACAAGAACAGCAACUGGGCUGCAUCUGUUAAAAAAAAAAACAGAAAUGCGAGCAGGGUGGUUAAUUCAGCCCAGUUAUCAGUAAGGUCAGAUCUAAUAAGUGGUUCUUUAUUAAUCACAGUUGUCAAUGUUUUCUUGUAUAUCAUGAAGUAAGAAACUAACAAGACAUGUAUAUACACAUAACAUAUUUAUUUAUAAAAGAGCAUAAAUAAAAAAGUUAUUCACAUCAGAAUAACAUAAUCACACUAAAGACAUCAAACUAGAAAAAACUAUUUUUAUUUAAGCUACUUCUGAUUUUUAAUUUAAUCGGCUAUUAACAGAGAGACAAAACAUUUCAAGAUGGAUUUUAUCAUUAAUUUACAGGUUUGGUUCCAUAAUUACUUUUUAACUAUUUACAACAAUAAAACACCAAAGAUGUGACACUUAAAGGUUUGUUAUACAUCAGUUUGCUUACAUGAAAGACUGGCUGCAUAUGUUUUUCUUUGUUGUUCUUGCAGGUUUCAAAACUACACGCCCUGGGCUACCAGCUAAUUCUGUUUCUUGGACAGUUUGACCGAAAGGGCCGUAUAGUAGGGGACGUGAUCACAUAGAGCCAGCGGAUGGUGCUGCACGUGACAUCCUCAUGAAGAUGAGGAAACUUUAUGAACACCUUCUGAGAAAAUUACAAGCUUCACCUCCUGCUAAAAGUUCUACACCAGCAGCUGGACCAUCCUCUGCUGACAGUGUCGAUGCUGGACCAGUCCCAGACCCAGAGGCUCUAAACGAGGAAUUUAUUCUUCAUUUAGAGCCUGAACCAACAUCUUCCCUCUGUCAGCCUCCUGUAUCCUCCUCUUCAUCUCUGCUUCCUCCUGCAUCCUCCUCUUCAUCUCUGCUUCCUCCUGCAUCCUCCUCUCCAUCUCUGCUUUUUCCUGCAUCCUCCUCUCCGUCUCUGCUUCCUCCUGCAUCCUCCUCUCCAUCUCUGCUUCCUCCUGCAUCCUCCUCUCCGUCUCUGCUUCCUCCUGCAUCCUCCUCUUCAUCUCCGCUUCCUACAUUUCCCUCAAUUUCUACGGCGUACACCUCGGAUGUCCCAAACAAAAAAAGGACAAGGAAAGAAUGCCGAAAACACCGUACACAGAAGAUUUUCAAAUAUGAAGAGAUAGUAGACAGGAGAGUUGUAAAUGUAAGUAAUUUAGCCUGCUGUUGUGCAGAUUUGUUUGCGUCUUUGGACUUCCCGGAUUUGAACUGUGCCUGACUGACUAUCCAUGAGCUUUUGUAUUUGAUGAAUCUACGCUAAUUCAACCAUUGAGUCUGGAUUUCGCUCCAAGUAGGGCAUUAAAUAGGAACAUACCACCUGAUACAACCUGGUCGUGCUGCCUUCCUGGUGUUUACGUUCUUUAAAGUCCUCCUGACAUCAUGCUCAGAAGGAGUGAUUGAUGUGGAGGUGCUCCUUCCCAUUCAGUAACAUCUGCUUCAGUUAGUUUUGCUUGUGAGCCACAAUGUAAGCAGUGUUGCUUUGCUGACAUGCACUCGAUGCUGGCAGUACAAGCAUUGUAGUGGUUCUUAUGUUUUUGUAAACUAAUUGUAUAAUAUAUUGAGCCAUUCAAUAGUACACAAAUGUUUAUAAGCUCCUUUUUGUAUGCAACUUGCAUGUCUUUCUUAAUUAACUCUUUGUUUAUAUCAUGUUUUUCAGGAAAAAGAAGAAGUUAAAGUCAAGUGGAAGCCCUGCUCGAUAUGGUAUGUAGUAACAACUUUGUUGGACCGGAACAGACAUUUAUAUUGUUGAUAAAUAGUUAUCACCUCAGUUUGAAUUCAUGUAUUUGGACUAAAGUAAAUUGGGAGCUUUUAGCUUUUAGCUGAGGAGCUUGAUAGCAGUCCACCUCCAAAGUUCAUUAUGAGUUUUGGAGGUGGACAUGGUCAACACUUUUAAGAGUAGGCAUAAGACUUUACUUCUUUAUAGAGCUUAUAGUUAGGGCUGGUUCAGGUCAGCCUUUAGUUAUGCUGUCAUAGGACCAGACUGCUGUGGGUUAGUGUCCCCCCCCCCUCUCUCUCUCCUCUGUCUGUCUGUCUCUUUCAGGGUUAUGCAGGCUCAGUAUUGGUUGAAGAUGCAGUCACAUCUCCUUUUACUAAAACUCUCCCCUCUCCCUCACCAUCUGUAAGCAUACAUGUCUCAGUAAUGCAGUUCAUGCAUGUUACUAACUAAACUUCUUCCCUGGAGUUUCUGUGCUCUCUCAUCCAGCAGGUUCCGAUGGAUCGUGGCUGCUGCUGUGGUCCUGCUUGACAUCUACUACAUAUAUUAUUACUCUCUGACUUGAUUUGAUUAAUUUAUAUUACAAUGAAGGUGUAUAAAGCAUGACAUGAAUAUAGAAGAUAUUUCAUCCUAAAAAUUGUCAUAUGUCACAACCUAAAUUAUCCUAUUUUGUGUGUUGUUGUCGUUGUUGUUUGUUAUGUUUUUCUCCUGACAGUGGCAAAGUGUGGGAUGACACAUGAGAAUCUGCGCAGUUUUUCACACAGUAAACCAGAUCCCUGUGUGCGAUUGCACAGUUCAGUUUGUAGUUCAG
rnacentral:lncRNA from 1 species